GAAGAGGAGAACUGAAAACAAAGCGGGUUCAAAAAGAGUUAAGCUCCUUCCUUACUUAAUGCCACUGCUUUCCUGAGAGGCCAGGUGGCAGGAUGUGGGACGACACCGGCUGACAAAGACAGUCUAACCCUGGGGUAGGGGCUGGAGCAGGCGCCGGCGACCCACGUCUACAUGCAUACUUCUCUUUCACUGCUGCAGCUGGAAACGCUGGACCCCGCGCCAGGACCCCAGCCCCAUGCACGGACCCCUCAGCUUCUGGGAAGCUGUCUCUGGGACUGAAGCCCCUCACCUCCGCCGGGCUGGCGGCCAAUGCAGUACCCUACUCCCCGUCGGGCUGGACCCGCACAAUUUGGGAAAAAGCCGCAGCGCUUCUGCAAGGUCUACGUGGCCAUGAGCAUGCAACGCUUGGCUCUCAAAAAGAUACGAAAGGGGCAAAGCAUCAACGACCACCCGAUCAGAGGGCCCGAAGGGCGCCUCUUCACCAGUCAGCUGCUGCUUAAGUUCCGUGCAUUAUCCGAAAGGAACAGCUGGCUGGAGGUAUCCAGGGCUGUCACUCCAACCUCUGGAGCGGUGACCUCAACUCCCAGCACUUCAAAACCCAGACAGAAACAAACAUCCAACAAACUCCCACUCCAGGAGCGCUGCAAAACCAACGCCAGUUGUUUUUCUGCAGAAAAUCAUCAACUGUGGAGAAGAAGAAGGGAAAUAAGAAAAAAAGAAAACCCUAAAAACCACCCUGGCGCCCGGGCCCGCAGGCCUCGGCUGGCUCUGAAAAGUUUGGGCUGUGCACGUGAUGAGCGCGUAGGCGGGAGCCCCAGACAGGACCCGGGCGGGGAUUUCGAGAAAAAGCAACAGUGACAGCCUUUGGUCCCCAUCUCUAUUGUUCCUGCCAGCUCUGGACCCCAGGCUGCAUGAGACGUAGGUCCCAGGGAACACCCGACCCCGUGGCCCCAGUCUUAGCUUCCACUGUCCCUGUCUGGCUCAUGUCUUGCUCUCUGGUGUGAUGAGCUGGGAGUGCAGUAAGGAGGAGUGGCAAGCCCGAGGGGCCAUGUUCAUAUCUGCCACUGCCAACUGUCCUGAUGUAAAUGCUUUGUCAUCUUGCCUGCCAGGAUUUGUGACAAGGGCAGGAAUCUACUGUUCCAUAUGCAGUAUCUUCUGGCAGCCUUGUCCUCUUUUUGUCCUUGUCGACUACAAUAACAAACAGCUGUUGCCGAGGCAUUGCUGUUGACGUGUUACCUUUGAAACCUCCCUCCUGUUAUGGAAUAAGCCUCUUCCAGAUAGUGGAUCAUUAAAGCAGCCUUGUUGCCACGGAGACCCAAAGGGAUCAGGCGUGGCGUUUGCUUGCAUCAUCAUCCUCUCCGGGGGAACAACAAGGACUCUUCUGCGUCACGCGUGGCUGUCCUGGGGCUGGCUGCCACCAGACUUUCCCUGCGGGUAAAACCUAAACAAAUGACCAGCUGCAGAUAAUAUCAAGACUUCUGUUUGAUAUGUUAAUAGUGACAACCAUAUUUCCACAAUUAACAACGGUGGGAAGAAAACACUGUAGUCACCAGACUUGGGAGGAGAGGGUUUGUAUUCACAUAAACACAACCUCACGUCACUGCUUGCCACCACAAAGGUCUCUGUUCACUGUUUUGUUCUUGAAGAUCAUCCUUGUGCUCAUCCUCUGAUCUUGAAUUUCUACAUAACUUUCUCAGUUUAUAUGCCCUGUGGCAAGUGCAGCAAGCACUGUUUCCUGUUUCUAAACUUGUAGAAAAUCAUCCAUACAUCUUACAGUUGUCAGUUUUAACCAGAUAACAGCGGCACUUUGUUGCUGCUUUUUUAUCUUUAGCUUAGGUUAACAGGACCUUGGAAGUAAAGUUGUAGAUUUAUUCAAUAGAGUAUUCUUAAUUAAUUUGGCUAGAUUUCUACAUUAUUCAAAAUCCAAAAAAGCAGAAAUGUAUGCUUACAUGUCUAAGACCUGAAAAAUCCAUGGUGACAUCCCAAAAUAAAUGAAGAUUUUAAAACAAUAAA